rnacentral:lncRNA from 1 species
UCUAGGUCCGUGGGUGGUGGAGGAUCCUUUGCGUAGCAAAAAAAGAAGGCGAGUGCCCCUGCAUCCUCUCCAGACGGUACCCAGGGUCUCGCUUUUCAGAUCUAGCUGUUGUGGACCUCACUGAGAUCCCCAUCUGCCUACAAAGUGCUGGGAUUAAAGAACAUCCACCAUUAUUAGAACCAUCACCCUGCAGCUAGCUUGGACAUCCUUAAAAGGGCUCAUCAGAAGUAUCUGAUAUUCAUGAAGACAGAGUUUCAGGGUUUCUGCCUGGAGCUACACCCUCCAGGAGCCCCUGCUUGGCUUCCCCUGCACCCAGCCCCAUCCCAACCUGUUACAACUUGGGCUGUGCAUGGUGUUUCUUGGAAACUGGAACACAGACUCCUCCGACUGCUCUCCAGGCCCUUUGUCCUCAAUGAGCAGAAGACCACAGAAGCUGGCUACUGAAGAGGCUGUCCAGAUAGCAGAGCACCUCACUGGCCUUGCUUAGCACCUUUGCUACAGAGCAAGCUCUGAGUGCUCACCACCUGCAGGGACUACAGCGAGAUUUGUCAGGCCCCCACUUCACUAAGGGCCACUCUCUAGUGAGCCCUCUGGAGAAGGCUCCACUAAAAAAAACGUGGUCAUCAUAGCGUUUGCACUGCCUCGAGUCCUAUCUGAGCACCUGUAGGGCUGCAGACAUCAGUAGCCCGUUACCUAGCUCUAAUCCAUAUCCUAAGUAGAAAACUGUGUACUAUUUUUUUUCUCUCCUUCUGGUGAGAAGAGUUUUAAUUAUUGAUUCAGUCCCAUCAGUAGUUGUAGUACUAUUAAGAAUUUAUUUUUCCUCUUGAGUACAUUUUGGAUAUAGUUUCUUAGGUAUUGGACCAUUUUGUCUGUGUUUUCAAAUUCACUGACAUCAAGUUCCUGUUUUGAAAGUCUCUGCUCUAUCUAUUCUGUAGCUAUGUCUCCUUUUUCACUGCUAAUACUGGUUAUUUGUGCCUUCUCCCUUUUCUUCUUGAUCAAUCUCAGCAGAGGUUUGUCUAUUUUAUUAGUCUUUACAAAGAACCAACUUCUGGCUCUGCUGCUCCUCUCGAUUGUGUCUUUGUUCUCUAUUUCUUUAAUUUCAGCUCUGAUCUUUUUUGACCUCCUUCCUUCCACAUUCUUUGGAUUCAUUCUGUUGCUCUUCUUCUGAUUUCUUCAAUUGUAUGUGGAGCUCAUUCAUUUUCAGUCUUGCCUUUUUGUUUUCCUUGUUUUGUUUUCCUGUUUGUUUCCUAUAGCUCAGACUCACCUCAAGCUCACAAUGAUCUUUUCCCUUACCCUCCCAAGUACAGUGAUUACAGAUGUGAGGCGCUGAACCUAGCUUUCAGCCUCUCGUUUUCUAAUUUAUAUAUUUGAAAGCUAUAAAUUUC